rnacentral:lncRNA from 1 species
ACUGAGGAAAUUUCUUGACUGGAAGGUCACAUUUCAAGCCAUUGCACUUAUAAAACCCAGCCCUGUUGUUAUUUAAAUUGCAAAUUAAUCAUCAAUAAUGCACAAUAAUUUAUGACCCACAAACGAUUUGGAGCCUAAGGAGGAGAAAAUGUCAAUGCAAAUAAAUACACACAUAGUAAGAUGCAUUGCAAUUGUCGUAUUACUUGAAUUUGUAAGCUGACCAGCAAACGCAUAGUACACAAAAGAGACAAAGCUUUAACCAUAAUUGGUGCUUAACCUUCUUGCUCCUGAUAAUGAUUUUGGCCAUGAAGGCAUCAGAGUAAGGGGAGGAAGAACGGAACGGCGCCUGCCGGAAGUUGCCGAUGGGUGUUGACGGCCUGGCCAAGCCAUCUCCCUCCAUGAUAGGUGGCAGACGGCGGAGAGGUGUAAAUAUGACAAGAUGUGAAAAUAAGCUCGAGGAAAUUAAUAUGGACCAGCAAACUGACAAAAGCAGAACAACAACAACAACAACAACAAAGCCUUUAGUCCCA